UACGGAAGGCAGCAGUGGGGAAUAUUGCACAAUGGGCGAAAGCCUGAUGCAGCUAUGCCGCGUGUAUGAAAAAGGCCUUCGGGUUUGUAAAGUACUUUUCAGUCGUGAGGAAGGUGUUAAGGUUAAUAACCUUAGCAAUUGACGUUAGCGACAGAAGAAGCACCGGCUAACUCCGUGCCAGCAGCCGCGGUAAUACGGAGGGUGCGAGCGUUAAUCGGAAUUACUGGGCGUAAAGGGCACGCAGGCGGUUAAUUAAGUUGGAUGUGAAAUCCCCGGGCUUAACCUGGGAAUGGCAUUCAAGACUGGUUAGCUAGAGUCUUGUAGAGGGGGUAGAAUUCCAUGUGUAGCGGUGAAAUGCGUAGAGAUGUGGAGGAAUACCGGUGGCGAAAGGCGGCCCCUGGACAAAGACUGACGCUCAUGUGCGAAAGCGUGGGGAGCAAACAGGGAUUAGAUACC
rnacentral:rRNA from 1 species